AAACUGGGAUUAGAGACCCCACUAUGCUUAGCCGUAAACUGAGGUAGUUUAACAACGAGACUAUUCGCCAGAGAACUACGAGCCAUCGCUUAAAACUCAAAGGACUUGGCGGUGCCCUAGACCCCCCUAGAGGAGCCUGUUCUAUAAUCGAUAAACCCCGAUACACCUCAAAUCUCCUAGCUAAUCAGUCUAUAUACCGCCAUCGUCAGCUCACCCCGAGAGGGUCCAAAAGUGAGCAGAAUCAUGAAACCAUAAAAACGUUAGGUCAAGGUGUAGCAUAUGGAAAGGGAAGUAAUGGGCUACAUUUUCUACAUUAGAACACAACGAAGUGUCUAUUGAAACAAAGAUAUGAAGGAGGAUUUAGCAGUAAAUUAAGAAUAGAGAGCUUAAUUGAACAUGGCAAUAGGGUGCGUACACACCGCCCGUCACCCUCCUCAACAUAGUAAUUUUUAUAUACCUAAUAAGAGUACGUAAGAAAGAGGAGAAAAGUCGUCGUAAGGUAAGUGUACUGGAAAGUGCACUUGGAUUAUC
rnacentral:rRNA from 1 species